GGAAGUAAAAGUCGAACAAGGUUUCCGUAGGUGAACCUGCGGAAGGAUCAUUAUUGUAAAACAGAGGGGGUGUCUUCCUCCCUGCUCCGGCUUUGCGGCCGUGAGCGGGUGGUCGCGCUCCUUUCCACAACCAAACCCCUGUGCACAUCUCUGGGGACUUCUGGUGGGUUUGCGCCUGCCGAGUCCCUGGCUCUACACAAACUCUUCUAUGUAUUUAGAAUGCUCAAGGACCUCGCGUCCUGUUAACAAAUAACAACUUUCAACAACGGAUCUCUUGGCUCUC
rnacentral:misc_RNA from 1 species